rnacentral:rRNA from 1 species
UACGUAGGGGGCAAGCGUUGUCCGGAAUCAUUGGGCGUAAAGCGCGUGUAGGCGGCCCGGUAAGUCCGCUGUGAAAGUCGGGGGCUCAACCCUCGAAUGCCGGUGGAUACUGUCGGGCUAGAGUGCGGAAGAGGCGAGUGGAAUUCCUGGUGUAGCGGUGAAAUGCGCAGAUAUCAGGAGGAACACCAAUUGCGAAGGCAGCUCGCUGGGACGUGACUGACGCUGAGACGCGAAAGCGUGGGGAGCAAACAGG